rnacentral:rRNA from 1 species
AUUGAACGCUCGCGGGAUGCUUUACACAUGCAAGUCGAACGAGUGGCGGACGGGUGAGUAAUAUAUCGGAACGUGCCCAGUAGAGGGGGAUAACUCCUCGAAAGGGUGGCUAAUACCGCAUAGUAUUGGAGCGGCCGAUAUCGGAUUAGCUAGGUGGUGGGGUAAAGGCUCACCAAGGAAAAGAUCCGUAGCUGGUUUGUGCGGACGACCAGCCCCACUGGGACUGAGACACGGCCCAGACUCCUACGGGAGGCAGCAGUGGGGAAUUUUGGACAAGGGGGGAAACCCUGAUCCAGCCAUCCCGCGUGUAUGAGAAGGCCUUCGGGUUGUAAAGUACUUUUGGCAGAGAAGCGGUAUCUGCAGAAUAAGCACCGGCUAACUCCGUGCCAGCAGCCGCGGUAAUUC